rnacentral:rRNA from 1 species
GAUGAACGCUGGCGGCGUGCCUAAUACAUGCCAGUCGAGCGAACGGACGAGAAGCUUGCUUCUCUGAUGUUAGCGGCGGACGGGUGAGUAACACGUGGAUAACCUACCUAUAAGACUGGGAUAACUUCGGGAAACCGGAGCUAAUACCGGAUGAUAUUUUGAACCGCAUGGUUCAAAAGUGAAAGACGGUCUUGCUGUCACUUAUAGAUGGAUCCGCGCUGCAUUAGCUAGUUGGUAAGGUAACGGCUUACCAAGGCAACGAUGCAUAGCCGACCUGAGAGGGUGGUCGGCCACACUGGAAGUGAGACACGGUCCAGACUCCUACGGGAGGCAGCAGUAGGGAAUCUUCCGCAAUGGGCGAAAGCCUGACGGAGCAACGCCGCGUGAGUGAUGAAGGUCUUCGGAUCGUAAAACUCUGUUAUUAGGGAAGAACAUAUGUGUAAGUAACUGUGCACAUCUUGACGGUACCUAAUCAAAAAGCCACGGCUAACUACGUA